GGCUGGGUGACCAUACCUCCUUAAUGCUGUCUAAUUUUUAUAGAGCCUUCUACAUGGAUCUGAGGUCUGCCUGGAAUCACUCACAUGUACGCUCUGAGGAUUAGGUUCAAGUUUGUGCUCCUUAAUCACCGGGUACUGGUGCUGGUAUUGAACACACCAUUUCCAAUCGUCAUGGAUCCUCUUCUGCCUUGUGACGUAAACGGCUGGACAUGCUUUGAGCCACAUAUAAAGUACGCACUACUGUCCAUCUUUUUGAGUCACACACAAUUAUAAUUACUAAAGCUUUUCAUAA